CCUACGGGAGGCAGCAGUCGGGAAUUUUGCGCAAUGGACGAAAGUCUGACGCAGCAACGCCGCGUGAGGGAUGACGGCCUUCGGGUUGUAAACCUCUUUUGUCAGGGAAGAUAAUGACGGUACCUGGCGAAUAAGUCACGGCUAACUACGUGCCAGCAGCCGCGGUAAUACGUAGGUGACAAGCGUUGUCCGGAUUUACUGGGCGUAAAGAGCGCGCAGGCGGUCGUUCAAGUCGAGUGUGAAAGCCCCCGGCUCAACUGGGGAGGGUCAUUCGAUACUGAUCGACUCGAAGGCAGGAGAGGGUAGUGGAAUUCCCGGUGUAGUGGUGAAAUGCGUAGAUAUCGGGAGGAACACCAGUGGCGAAGGCGACUACCUGGCCUGUUCUUGACGCUGAGGCGCGAAAGCUAGGGGAGCAAACGGGAUUAGAUACCCCGGUAGUCCUAGCCGUAAACGAUGGACACUAGGUGUUGGUGGUAUCAACCCCGCCAGUGCCGAAGCUAACGCAUUAAGUGUCCCGCCUGGGGAGGUACGGCCGCGACGACGAACUACAAGAAGUAGACGGCGUGAGACGUGCCGAACGGACGACGACGAGGGAGGAGG
rnacentral:rRNA from 1 species